UAAUGGCAAUGGUGAGAAUGUAAAUUAUGAUUUGUAUUCUGAACAUAACAUUUACAAUUUGAUGUUGUGGCCGAAACAUAUAAGCCACAAGCUAAAUGUUGUGCAAUGCUGCUUUCCAAAAUGUGUCAAAGUACAGUUCAUAACACAAUGCAAGUUCAUGCUGCAUUCUCAACAUUGCCACAAAGGUCACUAUAGUGAGAUUAGUGUGAACUGUCCACUUCUAUGGUGGGCUUUCUCUUUCAAGUCAGCUACUGUCAUGACAGAGCAACAGUUUGAAGAGAAUAUUGCUGAGCAAGUAAGUUAAAGGCAAUAUAUUUAUAGCAACUUACCAGAAUAAUAACACAUUCAGUUUAAUGGCACAGACGUUUGAAGGAAACUCUAUCGUCCCCUCUAUCGGUUUGUUACUGCCAUGUUCAACGUGCUUUGGCACUUGGCAAUAUGUUGGCCAAGCGCUUGCAUAUGCAUUUGCAUAUGUAUACAUACUUCCGUAAAGUAUGUUUCUAAAGCGUUAGCAUUCACUGGUGUUGAGUAUGUUUCAGUGUCUUUAUGCCAUCACAAGCUUUGAUGUAAUGGGGGUAAGUUAUUUAAAUAUAAAAUUAAUAAAAUUCAUAGCAAUUCAUUCACACAUGAUAAUUGUACAUAAAGAAAUGUUUCUGACUAAUGUGGAAUAUACUAGAGGAAGACCGAUAUAUCGGUUUUACCGAUUAAUCGGUUCUGAUAGUUGCUUUUUGGAACUAUUGGUUGUCGGCAAAAAUGUAUGCCGAUUGUUGCAAUUAGUGUUCCUCUGUGGCUGAUGCAGGAAUAUUCUACAGUAUAACAGUGGCCACUAGAGGAAAAAUAAAAACAAUCACUGACUGACAAUAUUCAUCCAGAUUUUUAUCCUCACUUCAAAGCAUAUUUUGUUAUUUUGAUUAGAUAAAUCAAGUAUUCAAAAUUGAAGUGAGGGCAUGAAAAGCAAAAUAUAAUUAUAUGGAAACAUGCCCCUUCAGUACGUGCAUCGUGUCUCCAACUUCAUAUCUUGUAAAUCAUAACAAAAACCUUUGAUAAUAUAGAUGUAUUAACAAAAUCGUUAAUCUGUUGAAUAUUGUCAUGAAUCCCGCCUUUGUUGUUCCUCCCACUCACUACCAGAGGGCUCCAUCACCUGGGGAUUGACUUUAACUCUCUGGACUCCAUUUCCCAUAAUCCCCAUACCUGUCAAUGAUUACCUGUUCACCUGUUUCCAAUCCAUUCAGCUAUUUAAGUCUCACUCUCACUCACUGUCAUUGCGAAGUCUUGUUUUGCCCUGGCUGACAUUUCUGAGCGUUCUCUGUGUUUAUUGCAUUACCUGUGUAUGAUCCUGGACUGUUCACCCUGUUUUGACCCGUUACUGCCUGCCUACUAUUACUGCCUUGUUUACCUGGAAAUAACCUGUGAUUGUCUGCCGCCUGCCCGACCUCUUGCCUGUUUAUUGUCUACCUCUCUUGAUUACCUUGGAUAUUACUGUUGCUGGUGAUUGACCCCUGCCUGUCUGUAUUACUACGUUUAUUGUUAUUAAAAGCUGCAUAUGGAUUUCAACUCCACUGACUCAUCAUUACAGAAGACUUCUCCACAAACCGAUCCAGCGGCUUUUCUGCAACUCACCACCGAGGUCUCAGCGCAAGCGGAUGUAUUGGCCAUACACCAUCAACAGCUUGACUGGCUGUCAUCGUUAACAGAGGAGCUUGUUAAAACUUUGCAAAGCCUCUGUUUACCAACACCAAACCCUUCAGCCUGUUCAUCCAAUCCAGCAGCUUACCCGGUCUCACCUAGCACAUUCACCACUAACCCACGCCUUACCUUUCCUGAGAAAUUCAAUGGAUCACCAGCUAAAUGUAAGGGAUUUCUGCUCCAAUGUUCUCGGUUUGUUAAUCAACAACCCACACUAUACCCCACUGAUGAGAGCCGCAUUUCCUUUGUUUGUUCGCUGCUUACCGGUAAGGCAUUAGACUGGAUUGCAGCAGUGUGGAACAGCGACAGAACAACAUUCCCUUCGUUCUGUUACUUCCUCCAACGAUUUCGUGCUGCGUUUGAACAUCCAGUAGGAGGCAAAGAUGCCGGAGAUCAACUGCAUUCUCUUCAUCAAGGUUGUGGUAGACUCACAAGUAUCGCCACUCCACUCACUGUCAGAUCUUCAGGUUCUCGUUUUGGAUCAUGGAUGAUGGACUGUUUGAUUGACAGCUCUGACAGUCGCGUGUGGGUGAUGGAUGGUUAUUUUAAGGGCAAGCGUUUGGUGGAAUAUCAAUCGCUCAGUGACUUUGCUAACGGACAGAACUUUUUGGUCCAUCAUCUUCCUCAUCCAUGGUCAGGUACGGGUCAUGUGGUGUAUAACGGCUCGUUGUACUAUAAUAAACACCACAGUAAUGUUCUGGUCCGGUAUCAUCUGAGCUCUGGGUGUGUGUUACAGCAGCAGUCUCUGGAUCGGGCCGGAUACAACAACACAUUCCCAUACUCGUGGGGCAGCUCCUCUAACAUUGAUCUCAUGGCCGAUGAGACCGGACUUUGGGUAGUUUACUCCACGAUUCCCAGUGGAGGGAACAUGGUGGUGAGUCGCCUAGAUCCAGACACUCUGGAGGUGGAAAGGUCCUGGGACACGGGCUUUCCCAAACGCAGCACUGGAGAAUCCUUCAUGAUCUGUGGAACGCUGUAUGUCUCUAACUCACAUCUGGCUGGAGCGAAAGUUCACUUCACAUACUACACGAGCAGCUCAUCAUACGAGUACAAGGAGAUCUCCUUUCAUAACCAGUACUCGCACAUCUCCAUGCUGGAAUAUAACCCCAGAAUGAGAGCACUGUACACCUGGAAUAACGGACAUCAGGUGAUCUAUGACAUCACACUCCUGCACUUCAUCAGGACAUCAGCAGACACACAGAGAACAAACACUCGAGACAACAAUAUCACUCUGUAAAUUCAGACAAACAGAGAAAAUCCUGACUGUAGGAAUUUGACUUAUUAUUAUAUGCUAAAUUCUUCAAAGGUAUAGUGCAGCUGAAAAAUAAUGUAAUUACAUAAAAUGUAUUAUUAAACUAUAAACAUUUAUUAUAGCAGGACCUCAUCCUGUCAAAGUGUUUGAUUUGCAUCUUAAAUUUUGUCUUUUCAGUUUAUUGAUUGAAUGCAGUCUCACUGUGUUGAAUGUUUAUAUGUUACAAUCAAUAAUAAUAUGAUUAUAUAAGACUGUAAACGUGCAUGAAUGAUGCAUGUUUGGUGCAUUAUAUAGUCAAAGUUUUAUUUGCUGUCACAUGUUUUUUUUCUCUUUAACCCUCCUAUGGUAUUGAACUAUGGUGCCUCCCUUUGGUUUUCCCGGUCAGUUUUGACCGGAAGGGUCAGAUUUGUAACCCAUUUUAUUUUAUUUUUUAUUUAUUUUUUUAUGAUAAUGAUACCAUUUCUUCUUCCCUGAAGUAAGAACAUUAAAAUGGUGGAUUCUUUUGGGAUUGUAUGCUAUUUUUAUCUUAUUUACAAGUAAAUUUCUAAAUUUUACUAUUAAUUUGCAUAUACAAAUAAGCAUUUCUUUUUUCAUUCAGAACCUACAUUUCUAUAAGUUGACACAUAAAUAUAAUAUGAGAAUGUAACAUAAAUUGGAGGCAUAAAUUGCUGCUAUCUGGUGAAUAAAAUAUAAAUAACUUGACUUGAAAAUCAUGUCAUGUCAGUAACGGCCAGUAGAUGACUGUAGACACAUACUGUGUAGUCUGAUGACUUGUUGUAAACUAAUAUUAUAUUUUAUCACAAGAUAUAUUUAGACAUUAUCAGAGUAUUAUUUGUCAAAUUUAGCAUUCAGUAUUUUCAGUUAAUGUCAUUAUGCUUGCAAUCAAACCUGAUCAUGGUGUUACAAAGAGAAGACACAGAAUAAGCAUUUUUCUACCAAUAAUUUAUUUCAAACAUAAAAAUGUAAUAACUCCAAGUAAACGCAUAAUAAUGUCAAGAAAAUGAACAUCAAGAAACAGAAAUAAACUUAAAAAAUUCUGAAAAUACAAUUAGAGAACAAAACAGAAGAAUCAGAGUAAACAUUUUGACAUUUCAAACAUUGUAUAGUAAAAAUGUAUUUAGCAAACGUGUGUGUGUGUGUGUGUGUUUCAGAUUGUUGUCAUCAGCUGGAAAACAACAAAUGACUUGUAAUGCCAACAAUGACCAAACGAUGGCUGUAGAGCUCCACUUAUUGAUGCCCUUGUUUUCUCUCUCUCUCUCUCUCUCUCUCUCUCUCUCUCUCUCUCUCUCUCUCUCUCUCUCUCUCUGUGUGUGUGUGUGUUCUGCAUUAUGAGUGUGCUAUCCUAUCACCCCUACAUUUCUGAGUGUGUGUGUUUUAUCAUUGUAGCUGAUUUUUUUUUUUUUUUUUUUUUUGUGACAAAUGUAAAAAAAAAAGUGUUAUAGUCUCACCAGUUCAUUCUUCUGUAUGUGUGUGCGUGUGUAUGUUUUGUACAGAGGGUGAUUUAGAGUCUCACCCUGUAAUUUAUGUCUGUUUUUUCUGCAUUGUGGCUGAUUUAUUGAUUGUAUUUGACAGAUAAAAAAAAAGCUCAGUAUUUUGGUCUUUCCCAUUCAUUUUCAAUGGUGGUCAAUCUUGACUGUGAAUACCAAAGGUGUAGCUGUUCUUUAUGAUCACUGUUUUUUUUUUAUGUAUUUUUUUUAUGUUCAGAUGGCAAAUGGAGGAAAAGUCACCAGGUUUUGUACUGCUUAGAUAAAGGAAAACAUUUUUAUUAAAUGAGGAAAAAUUAUUUCGGUCAGAAAUGACCAAAUACCAUAGGAGGGUUAAGAUACUGCUGAAAAGAAAGAGCUGCAGUACAUUUUAUUUUAUUUAGAAAAAAAAGUGAGAAAUACAAGGAAGUGUUGUGAAUUGUACUUCUGUAUUUUGGAUAGUAAAUAGAAUAUAUCAUUCAAUUGUGAAUAAAUGUAUCAGGUGUUCUAAAUGUUUGUACUGUAGCUCACAAACAAAUGGAAAAUGUAAACAUUUUUUACAACACGAACAAGUCAUUAAGGAUAAAACUAGAAUGAUUGUGUGAUGGCAAGCUUGGAGAUCCUUUUAUAUAAAUACACAAGUAUACUCAUUUGAUAACCGAUGUCAAAGGUCACUUAAGAACAUUUUAAAUGAGCACUCUAUAUUGAUUUUUUUCUUUCUUUUAAAUUUAGCAGUGAAGAAAUUACAAUAUAACAAAUAGCCAUAUGUUAAAAAUAAAUUAUAUAUAUAUAUAUAUAUAAACAAUGAAUUGUAAUAAAUUAUAUAUAUCAACUAUAAAUCUUAAAAGAACACAACAAAAGUGUUUUUCUAGCAUUUUCAGAUGCAGAGAAUGUUCUGCUUAAUUUAGUUAACAAAUGACAUCAAAUGUGAUUUGUGAUUGGAGAAUGUACACUUUUGUGUGUGAAACUUGGCAAAAAGUUAUAAAAGAUGAAUAGUUUUAGUUUUAAAAAGUUUAAAAAGUUUUUCAGUUUUUUUACAUAAUGCAAAUUGAAAGUACAAAUGAUCAGUUACAAAAAUACAUGUAAUACAUUUUGCCAAAAUAAAUGUCUCUUCUUACACCUUACAAAAGUCUCAUUUAAAUUUUCAAUUAGUAAAACACUUCUCUAACUGUUCACUGUAAGGUUUUAUGCCUUUUUCUUUCUUUAAUAGUUUAUUUAGCAAAUGACAUGAACAAAGAACAAUUAGCAAAAAAAAUAUAAUUUAUGCAAUUAAAAUAAUACACUAUAGAAAUGAAAUACCCAAUCAGAACGUAAAAUAAGGUUAUAAUAGUAUACUCAUAAAAAUGUGUUAUUAUUUCCCCUGUCCCGUUCUGCGCAUGCGCUCUUCCGUUGUGACGUUAGCGUGUGCACUGUGGGAGUUGUAGUCCUUCAGUCUUCACUUCCUGUUCUGUGACUGUGAGUUCAGUUUGACAAGAACAAACUUUACAUCAAACAGCACAUGUCUGUGUUUGAAGCGUCUAGCGCCACCAACAGGCCCAUCACUGCAGUGGCAUGGGCAUCUAAUGGCACCACCUGCCCCAGUCAUUUCACCCUGGUACAAACCUGCACAUACUAUCAAUGAAUGUGCACUGCUUCAUAGCCAUUAAUGUGAUGUGUGUGUGUGUUUAGGUCAGUCUCACUGAAGAUGGCGUCUCUGCUAACUUCAGUCGGGGGUUUGGACUCAAAUCAGGAUACUUUCUGUCUUACA